GGUCACGUUACGAAAGUAGCUCUUUAAUAAUUAUUAUUAUUAUUUUCCCUCGGUCUCUCAUUUAAAUUCUCGUAUAGGACCACUGAGGUGACGUCAUACCUCGGUGAUGGAACGUACUUCACCUAUCGAGAAUUAUUCGGGUUCUGAGAGAAUUUGACGUUUACCUUGGCGGAGAAACGCCUCUCGUUCUUUACUUGACUGUGAGCUGUGGUGUCGAAUAGAUAUACCAUAUAGAAUGGCGGAUGAUUUCCUCCAACUUAUUUUAUCACAUAAGAAAUUUAACGUAAAGUAAAAAGUUACCACCAGGGAUUGUCUGGAGUGAGGAAACAUGUGGGUGACAACUCCUGUUGGAGUAUAAAUAGGAAUCAUUCGCCAUUUGGGAGAAACCCUACCAUGAAGUCCUAGACCUUAUUUGACCACCUUGGGAAACCACUACAGCCACAGUCAAGUCAUCAUUGGGUAGUAAUUUUGGGAGCAAGCUAUGGGAGCGUUCCAGCUCAAUUUUCGUCUUGGCACCUGGGCCUACAGGAGUCAUGGGGGCGCACCAUCCUGGUGCAUCAUUUUCUAGGAUGUAACCGCAACCUCGUUUGGGAACAUUUAGUGAGGUGUUUUAGUAACUAUUGGUUUUUUUUUAUAUUACAGACUAUCUGUUAAAUACACUAUGUUUUUUUUCCAGAUUUAGGUUACCUCUGCUUUUUUUUUGACAUAUUUGUAUAUUAGAUUAUUUGGUUCCCAAACUUUGUAUCUACGGUAACUUCUUGUGCACAGGAAUAAGCCUAGAGAAAAUUAGGUUUUUAAUACUUUAUUAUUGCUUUGAUAUUGGUUUAUGUAAUUCGGGUAAAUUUAUUUUUUAAUAUUACUAGCUUGUUUCCCAAAUAUUUUACUGUUAUUCGCUUUAUUCCAUUUGUUCGGUUAAUUUAGGUCAUCGUCGGUAUUUAUCUCAACUUCAUUUCUACUUUAGUCAAUUAUAUAUUUAACUUUAUCUAUUCAUUAUUGUAUUUUCCCUUAGUGAGGCUUGGGCCUAUUUAUUUGUAGUAUUUUCAUCUUUGUCAGUUUCCUUUAGUUGUACGUAGCAGGCGUACUAUAACCAUUUGGUAGAAGACUCAUGUGAGUUGUACCCUAUAUAUAUGUAAGAGGUAUUUAAGUUUGUAACAGAUAACAUUAUUGUUGUUAUCUUUAAAAUAUAUAUAGCUUCUUGUAUAACUUAUGUCAUUUUAGAGUUACAUGAUAUAUGCUUGUCUAACUCAGAGAUUGUUAAAAAUCUAGUAGUUAUUUUAAUAAAUAUUUAUUUAUUUUGUA
rnacentral:lncRNA from 1 species